rnacentral:rRNA from 1 species
UACAGAGGUGGCAAGCGUUGUUCGGAAUUACUGGGCGUAAAGGGCGCGUAGGCGGCCACCGCAAGUCGACUGUGAAAUCUCCGGGCUUAACCCGGAAAGGUCAGCCGAUACUGCGGGGCUAGAGUGCAGAAGGGGCAACUGGAAUUCUCGGUGUAGCGGUGAAAUGCGUAGAUAUCGAGAGGAACACCUGCGGCGAAGGCGGGUUGCUGGGCUGACACUGACGCUGAGGCGCGAAAGCUAGGGGAGCGAACGGG